UACGUAGGGUGCGAGCGUUGUCCGGAAUCAUUGGGCGUAAAGAGCGUGUAGGCGGCCAGGUAGGUCUGGUGUGAAAACUCGAGGCUUAACCUCGAGAUGUCAUCGGAAACCAUCUGGCUAGAGUCCGGAAGAGGAGAGUGGAAUUCCUGGUGUAGCGGUGAAAUGCGCAGAUAUCAGGAAGAACACCAAUGGCGAAAGCAGCUCUCUGGGACGGUACUGACGCUGAGACGCGAAAGCGUGGGGAGCGAACAGG
rnacentral:rRNA from 1 species